CCUACGGGCGGCAGCAGUGAGGAAUAUUGGUCAAUGGGCGAGAGCCUGAACCAGCCAAGUCGCGUGAGGGAGUACUGCCCUAUGGGUUGUAAACCUCUUUUGUCGGGGAGCAAAAGCCGGACGUGUCCGGCUGUGAGAGUACCCGAAGAAAAAGCAUCGGCUAACUCCGUGCCAGCAGCCGCGGUAAUACGGAGGAUGCGAGCGUUAUCCGGAUUUAUUGGGUUUAAAGGGUGCGCAGGCGGAUUUUUAAGUCAGCGGUAAAAUCGUGGGGCUCAACCCCAUCCAGCCGUUGAAACUGGGGAUCUAGAGUGGGCGAGAGGUAUGCGGAAUGCGUGGUGUAGCGGUGAAAUGCAUAGAUAUCACGCAGAACCCCGAUUGCGAAGGCAGCAUACCGGUGCACAACUGACGCUCAGGCACGAAAGCGUGGGUAUCGAACAGGAUUAGAUACCCUUGUAGUC
rnacentral:rRNA from 1 species